UUUAUUUUCAAUUUAUGUGGAUAGAUCAUAGGUAUAUAUAAUUAUGGGGUACAUAAGAUGUUUUAAAACAGGCAUGCAAUGUAAAAUAAGCACAUCAUGGAAAAUGCAGUAUCCACCCCCUCAUUUGGUUUUUAUGUU